UACGGAGGGUGCAAGCGUUAAUCGGAAUUACUGGGCGUAAAGGGUGCGUAGGUUGUUAGUUAAGUUAUCUGUGAAAUACCUGGGCUCAACCCAGGAAGGUCAGAUAAGACUGAUUGACUAGAGUAUGGGAGAGGGCAGUGGAAUUUCCGGUGUAGCGGUGAAAUGCGUAGAGAUCGGAAGGAACACCAGUGGCGAAGGCGGCUGCCUGGCCCAAUACUGACACUGAGGCACGAAAGCGUGGGGAGCAAACAGGAUUAGAUACCCUGGUAGUCCACGCUGUAAACGAUGUCAACUAGCUGUUGGUCAUAUGAAUAUGAUUAGUGGCGCAGCUAACGCGAUAAGUUGACCGCCUGGGGAGUACGGUCGCAAGAUUAAA
rnacentral:rRNA from 1 species